AACGAACGCUGGCGGCAUGCCUAACACAUGCAAGUCGAACGAGACCUUCGGGUCUAGUGGCGCACGGGUGCGUAACGCGUGGGAACCUGCCCUUAGGUUCGGAAUAACUCCCCGAAAGGGGUGCUAAUACCGGAUAAUGUCUUCGGACCAAAGAUUUAUCGCCUUUGGAUGGGCCCGCGUUGGAUUAGCUAGUUGGUAGGGUAAAAGCCUACCAAGGCGACGAUCCAUAGCUGGUCUGAGAGGAUGAUCAGCCACACUGGGACUGAGACACGGCCCAGACUCCUACGGGAGGCAGCAGUGGGGAAUAUUGGACAAUGGGCGAAAGCCUGAUACAGCAAUGCCGCGUGAGCGAUGAAGGCCUUAGGGUUGUAAAGCUCUUUUACCCGGGAUGAUAAUGACAGUACCGGGAGAAUAAGCGCCGGCUAACUCCGUG
rnacentral:rRNA from 1 species